GUACACAAAAAUGCACAUGCUGUGAGCUCGAUGAGUAGGGCGGGACACGUGGUAUCCUGUCUGAAUAUGGGGGGACCAUCCUCCAAGGCUAAAUACUCCUGACUGACCGAUAGUGAACCAGUACCGUGAGGGAAAGGCGAAAAGAACCCCGGCGAGGGGAGUGAAAAAGAACCUGAAACCGUGUACGUACAAGCAGUGGGAGCCUCUUAAUGGGGUGACUGCGUACCUUUUGUAUAAUGGGUCAGCGACUUAUAUUCUGUAGCAAGGUUAACCGAAUAGGGGAGCCGAAGGGAAACCGAGUCUUAACUGGGCGUUAAGUUGCAGGGUAUAGACCCGAAACCCGGUGAUCUAGCCAUGGGCAGGUUGAAGGUUGGGUAACACUAACUGGAGGACCGAACCGACUAAUGUUGAAAAAUUAGCGGAUGACUUGUGGCUGGGGGUGAAAGGCCAAUCAAACCGGGAGAUAGCUGGUUCUCCCCGAAAGCUAUUUAGGUAGCGCCUCGUGAAUUCAUCUCCGGGGGUAGAGCACUGUUUCGGCAAGGGGGUCAUCCCGACUUACCAACCCGAUGCAAACUGCGAAUACCGGAGAAUGUUAUCACGGGAGACACACGGCGGGUGCUAACGUCCGUCGUGAAGAGGGAAACAACCCAGACCGCCAGCUAAGGUCCCAAAGUCAUGGUUAAGUGGGAAACGAUGUGGGAAGGCCCAGACAGCCAGGAUGUUGGCUUAGAAGCAGCCAUCAUUUAAAGAAAGCGUAAUAGCUCACUGGUCGAGUCGGCCUGCGCGGAAGAUGUAACGGGGCUAAACCAUGCACCGAAGCUGCGGCAGCGACGCUUAUGCGUUGUUGGGUAGGGGAGCGUUCUGUAAGCCUGUGAAGGUGGCCUGUGAGGGUUGCUGGAGGUAUCAGAAGUGCGAAUGCUGACAUAAGUAACGAUAAAGCGGGUGAAAAGCCCGCUCGCCGGAAGACCAAGGGUUCCUGUCCAACGUUAAUCGGGGCAGGGUGAGUCGACCCCUAAGGCGAGGCCGAAAGGCGUAGUCGAUGGGAAACAGGUUAAUAUUCCUGUACUUGGUGUUACUGCGAAGGGGGGACGGAGAAGGCUAUGUUGGCCGGGCGACGGUUGUCCCGGUUUAAGCGUGUAGGCUGGUUUUCCAGGCAAAUCCGGAAAA
rnacentral:rRNA from 1 species